CUCCCCAAGUAGGAUUUGAACCUACGACUAAAAUCGGUUAACAGCCGAUUGCUCUACCGCUGAGCUAUUGGGGA
rnacentral:tRNA from 1 species